CCUCACUGCUAUCGGGGUGGGACUUAGACAUGCGAGUCGAACGCUUCGCAGCUAUGAGUGAAGCGUGGCGAACGGCUCAGUAACACGUGGCUAACCUACCCUUGAGACGGAGACAACCCCGGGAAACUGGGGCUAAUCCCAGAUAGACGAGAACUCCUGGAAUGGGUUUUCGUCCAAAAGGCGUUAGGGUCAUGCUUCUUAACGUCGCUCAAGGAUGGGGCCGCGGCCGAUCAGGCUGUUGGUGAGGCAACGGCUCACCAAACCUAUAACCGGUACGGGCCGUGGGAGCGGGAGCCCGGAGAUGGGAACUGAGACAAGGUCCCAGGCCCUACGGGGCGCAGCAGUUACGAAAACUUGUCACUGCACGAAAGUGCGAACGGGCUACCCCGAGUGCCGUCCGCUGAGGAUGGCUUUUCUCUGCUGUAAGAAGGCGGAGGAAUAAGGAGAGGGCAAGUCUGGUGUCAGCCGCCGCGGUAAUACCAGCUCUCCGAGUGGUGGGGAUGUUUAUUGGGCUUAAAGCGUCCGUAGCUGGCCUUUCAAGUCUUUCGUUAAAUCCAGCGAUUCAAUCGUUGGACUGCGGGAGAUACUGUUUGGCUAGGGGGCGGGAGAAGCCGACGGUAUUUUCGGGGUAGGGGUAAAAUCCUAUAAUCCCGGGAAGACCACCAGUGGCGAAGGCGGUCGGCUAGCACGCGCUCGACGGUGAGGGACGAAAGCUGGGGGAGCGAACCGGAUUAGAUACCCGGGUAGUCCCAGCUGUAAACGAUGCGGGCUAGGUGUUGGAGCGGCUACGAGCCGCUUCAGUGCCGCAGGGAAGCCAUUAAGCUCGCCGCCUGGGGAGUACGGCCGCAAGGCUGAAACUUAA
rnacentral:rRNA from 1 species